rnacentral:rRNA from 1 species
AACGGUGGUAAUGCCGGAUGCUCCAGUUGAUCGCAUGGUCUUCUGGGAAAGCUUUCGCGGUAUGGGAUGGGGUCGCGUCCUAUCAGCUUGACGGCGGGGUAACGGCCCACCGUGGCUUCGACGGGUAGCCGGCCUGAGAGGGCGACCGGCCACAUUGGGACUGAGAUACGGCCCAGACUCCUACGGGAGGCAGCAGUGGGGAAUAUUGCACAAUGGGCGCAAGCCUGAUGCAGCGACGCCGCGUGAGGGAUGGAGGCCUUCGGGUUGUAAACCUCUUUUAUCGGGGAGCAAGCGAGAGUGAGUUUACCCGUUGAAUAAGCACCGGCUAACUACGUGCCAGCAGCCGCGGUAAUACGUAGGGUGCAAGCGUUAUCCGGAAUUAUUGGGCGUAAAGGGCUCGUAGGCGGUUCGUCGCGUCCGGUGUGAAAGUCCAUCGCUUAACGGUGGAUCCGCGCCGGGUACGGGCGGGCUUGAGUGCGGUAGGGGAGACUGGAAUUCCCGGUGUAACGGUGGAAUGUGUAGAUAUCGGAAAAGAAACA